rnacentral:rRNA from 1 species
UACGAAGGGAACUAGCGGUGUUCGGCAUUACUGGGCGUAAAGCGCACGUAGGCGGACUCUUAAGUCAGGGGUGAAAUCCCGGGGCUCAACCUUGGAACUGCCUUUGAUACUGUGAGUCUCGAGACCGGAAGAGGUGAGUGGAAUUCCUAGUGUAGAGGUGAAAUUCGUAGAUAUUAGGAAGAACACCAGUGGCGACGGCGGCUCACUGGUCCGGUUCUGACGCUGAGGUGCGAAAGUGUGGGGAGCAAACAGG